rnacentral:rRNA from 1 species
AGCGAACGCUGGCGGCAGGCCUAACACAUGCAAGUCGAACGAACUCUUCGGAGUUAGUGGCGGACGGGUGAGUAACCCGUUGGAAAGUGCCUUUUGGUUCGGCUUAUCUUAGGGGAACUUGUGCUAAUACCGGAUGUGCCCUUCGGGGGAACGGUUUGUCGCCAUUAGAGCGGCCCGCGUCUGAUUAGCUAGUUGGUGAGGUAACGCCUCACCACGGCGACGCUCAGUAGCUGGUCUAUGAGGAUGGCCAGCGACACUUGGACGGAGACACGGCCGAGACUCCUACGGGAGGCAGCAGUGGGGAAUCUUGCACAAUCGGCGAAAUCCUGACGCUGCCAGGCCGCGUGAAUGAUGAAGGUCGGAGGAUUGUAAAAUUCUUUCACCGGUGGCUAUAAUGACGGUACCCAGAGAAGAAGCCCCGGCUAACUUCGUG